ensembl:lncRNA novel transcript
AGAUUCUGGGAGGUCUCGGGAGGCCCAGAAAUGGGAGAAGUCAGAUUGCGGGGUCGUGGGCCCCAAAGCCUAAAUCUUGCCCUUCCUACACCCAGAGCUAAGUGACCAUGCCCAGGCUUCAUUUGACCACAUGGACAAAGGCCUAGAGAAGGCCUCCCCGAGGCCAGAAUCCCUGGGAAGUCUGCCCAGCAUCUAGUCUCUUAGGACUUCGUUGGCCUCCUCUGGGGAAGAACAUCAAUUCAGCCCAGCACCUGCUCCAGUGAGGGGCUGCAGCGAAGAAUGACGUGGGGUCCACGAGGCAGGCUUUUUGAUGGUGAGGCCGCAGCAGCAGCAUCAGCAUCAGCAGCAGCAGCAGCAAGACAUCCUGGAGCUCCAUAUUCAGUAUGGCAAGAGGCAACGGGCGUGAGGGAAGCAGUCCCGAACAGAAAUGCAGGAGCAGCGGUAACAGCAGCAGCCGCUGCCUGCGAGCAUCAGGCAGGGGAGUGAGACAGUGGGCACUCAAAUCCGUUUCCUCCAUCUCUCAGCCACACAGCCCAAGCGAGGCUGUGUGAGAACUUCUCAGUGCACA